rnacentral:lncRNA from 1 species
UCCGCCCUGUGGUUUUGGAGCCCUUCCUCCCGGCGCGCAGGGUGUGGUCCCCGAGAAUAAGAUGAGCAGAAUUAAAGCAGAUCCUGCACCCACUCUGCUGAAAUCCGGCUUCUGAGGCAGCCUCGCCCAGGGCUGGGUGGGCUCAGGCGGCUGCUACUCGGUUCAGGGGAGGUUACGCACGGUGGCUGCCGCGCGCAGGGGAGGCUUCGCUUCCGUACUCCUUGGGCCGGGAGAUCCGAUCUUUGUUCCCUCAAGACUCACACUCUCCAACCGGUCAUUAUCCUCCCACAAAGAUUUAUUUCUAGAAAAAAUUGGCAAGUGCCACAGUUCCCGCCCCUUCAGCUGAACGACUGUGACAGCUCCGUGUUUCAAGUUGAAUGCAGGCGUUAUGUGCCAGAGUCAAUCAUUCAACAAAUAAAGUUCUUAAAAUAACAGCUACCAUUUACUGCACGCUGACUACUUGCCAGGCCCAUGCUGAGUUCUUCAAGCGUAUUUUCAUUUACUCCUAAUAGCAACUCUCGGUGGUAGGUACCAUUAUGCCCUCUAGUUUUCAAAUGAGGAAGCUGAAUAACUUGCCAAGGUCAGAAAGUAACUGUUGAAACUUUGAAGGAAACACAUCUGUCUGACUCUAAAUCCCAUGAGCUUAAUUAGCCCCUGUGAUAGACCAUACUGCAGACAUUUGAGGCAGAUUUGAGGUGGUGAAUGCCUCUGGAUCUGGAGACACUGGGUUCCAGUGCUGGCAUAGGCCCUCUACUAGGGGUCAGACUUUGGUCAGGUUACUUUGGACGGGUUACUGGGCCUCUUCCUAACUUUAUGGCUCCCAGCAUGUUUAAAAGAACAUGACAACAUGAAAAAAUAUGGUAUAAAAGUCAUAGUAUAUUUUAAAUAUUGACAUUUAACUAAAAACACUGUCUCACACACACACAAACUCUAACUUUAUUUGGACAUAAUCUUUGACUCUGCAUUUAGUUAUUCUAAAUCUCUUUCUGGAUUAGAGACAGAAGGAACAUAGACCAUACACGCAUUCUAGAGGAAGAGGAGAGAGAAGAGGAAGCAGGAAGGAGAAUGAAGAAAGUUUCCUCAUCAGGUGGGGAAUAUUAAUGGGGCUGUAAUGAGAAACGGAAGCAGUAAUGUAUGUGAAACCACUUUGUAAAAUGCUUCAUUAUAAAGAAUGCACACACGACUUAAGUUACAACCCCUGCCCUAAGGAAUGUCCAGUCUUUUAAGAAGUCUAGAUCCAUGCAUUUGUAACUCCAGUAGGAGAUGGGAAGAUAGUUUAAGAAUAUCCGUCACAUGAAGGGCUGGGCGCGGUGGCUCACACCUGUAAUCCCAGCAUUUUGGGAGGCCGAGGCGGGCAGAUAACGAGGUCAAGAGAUCAAGACCAGCCUGGCCAAUAUGGUGAAACCCCGUCUCUACUAAAAAAUACAAAAAUUAGCUGGGCGUGGUGGCAUGCGCCUGUAGUCCCAGCUAUUUGGGAGGCUGAGGCAGGAGAAUCGCUUGAACCCGGGAGGCAGAGGUUGCAGUAAGCUGAGAUCGUGCUUCUCUACUCUAGCCUGGCGACAGAGUGAGACUCUGUCUCAAAAAAAUAAAUAAAAGAAUAUCUGUCACAUGUAUUUAUGCACUGAAAAAAAACUAUUGAGCUACAUAGUAGCAAUUAUUGGAAGAGUUCAAUAAUUGCUAUGCUACUUUGUACCAAGCACAACUAGGGAUCCAGCAGUGGACAAGUCAGACCCUGUUACUGCUCUCAUGGAGCUUACAGUCUAUUUUGGAAAUGAUAUUUCCAUUUGGAGUGGUCAUCAGAAGAUACGCUGCCUUCUGUCUUCCAGCUUUUUCCUCCUCGCUGAUCUUGCCCCUUGUCCAGUACCCAGUGCUUCAUCCAUGUCUCUCUUGCAGAUAACUAUGGCCGUGUGCCUGAGAUCUGGCCAAUGGAAUCGUGGACAGUUCUCCAUGCUCUUUCUCCUUCUGUGGCAACUCUGAAUGUCGUGUGUUCAAGAUGAAGACAGAAGAUAGAAUGACCUUGGGUCUCUGAAUCAUUGCUUGGAGAAGAGCAAUUUACUGAUCAGUGGUGUGAAAAUAAGUAAUUCAAAAUCUAAGCUAUUGGGCCAGGUGCAGUGGCUCACGCCUGUAACCCCAGCACUUUGGGAAACCAAGGCAGGUGGAUCAUUUGAGGUCAGGAGUUCGAGACCAGCCUGGCCAACAGGGUGAAACCCCGUCGCUACUAAAAAUACAAAAAAUUAGCCGGGCAUGGUGGCAUACGCCUGUGGCCCCAGCUACUUGGGAGGCUAGGGCACGAGAAACACUUAAGCCCAGGAGGCGGAAGUUGCAGUGAGCCAAGACUGCACCACUGCAUGCUAGCCUGGGCAAGAGAGCAAGACUCUGCCUCA